AUAUUUUUGUGUUUCAGAAGCGGAUUAUUGGUUUUUACAUAUUCAUCUGAUAUGUACCUCCUUCAAACUAUGUUAUAGCUUUGGCAUAAUACCUAUCUGAAA